rnacentral:rRNA from 1 species
GUGGGGAAUAUUGGGCAAUGGGGGAAACCCUGACCCAGCGACGCCGCGUGAGGGAAGACGGCCUUCGGGUUGUAAACCUCUUUUGUACGGGAAGAAGGAAGUGACGGUACUGUACGAAUAAGUCCCGGCUAACUACGUGCCAGCAGCCGCGGUAAUACGUAGGGGACGAGCGUUGUCCGGAAUUACUGGGCGUAAAGGGCGCGCAGGCUGUGCUGCAAGUCAGCUGUGAAAUGUCUGGGCUUAACCCGGGCAUGCGGUUGAGACUGCAGUGCUGGAGUGCUGUAGAGGCAAGUGGAAUUCCCAGUGUAGCGGUGAAAUGCGUAGAUAUUAGGAAGAACACCAGUGGCGAAGGCGACUUUCUGGACGAAAACUGACGCUGAGGCGCGAAAGCCAGGGGAGCGAACGGGAUUAGAUACCCCGGUAGUCC